AUGCAAGUCGAACGAUGAUGCCCAGCUUGCUGGGUGGAUUAGUGGCGAACGGGUGAGUAACACGUGAGUAACCUGCCCCUGACUCUGGGAUAAGCGUUGGAAACGACGUCUAAUACUGGAUAUGAUCGCCGGCCGCAUGGUCUGGUGGUGGAAAGAUUUUUUGGUUGGGGAUGGACUCGCGGCCUAUCAGCUUGUUGGUGAGGUAAUGGCUCACCAAGGCGACGACGGGUAGCCGGCCUGAGAGGGUGACCGGCCACACUGGGACUGAGACACGGCCCAGACUCCUACGGGAGGCAGCAGUGGGGAAUAUUGCACAAUGGGCGAAAGCCUGAUGCAGCAACGCCGCGUGAGGGAUGACGGCCUUCGGGUUGUAAACCUCUUUUAGUAGGGAAGAAGCGAAAGUGACGGUACCUGCAGAAAAAGCACCGGCUAACUACGUGCCAGCAGCCGCGGUAAUACGUAGGGUGCAAGCGUUGUCCGGAAUUAUUGGGCGUAAAGAGCUCGUAGGCGGUUUGUCGCGUCUGCUGUGAAAUCCCGAGGCU
rnacentral:rRNA from 1 species